UCUGGAAACACCGGUUCCCGUAGAAUCACCGGAGUUAAUCAACGUCGUGCCUGGUCAGUAACGAGAUGGGUGACCAUUUGGGACUAGCAGGUGCUGUCA